GCCCGCUUAGCUCAGUUGGUUAGAGCUUUGUGCUUAUAAGGGAGACUUGAUUACCAAGCUUUACGUAAGUAAACGCAAGGGUCGGCAGUUCGAGCCUGCCAGUGGGCA